rnacentral:lncRNA from 12 species
AUGAUUAGCAGCAAGAGGAAUAUCAUCUUCUGUAGCAAAAUGUUUAGUAGCCACAGCAUCCAGAGCCAUAGCCACAGCCAUAGCGGGAGCUGUAUCCACAGCCAGAGCCAUAGCCACAGCCAUAGCCACAGCCAGAGCCAUAGCCACAGCCAUAGCCACAGCCACAGCCAUAACCUGAGCCAUAGCCACAGCCACAGCCAUAGCCUGAGCCAUAGCCACAGCCAUAACCAGUUCUAUAACCACAGCCAGAAUAGGGGCCACAUCCGUAGCCAUAGCCGCAUCCGCAGCCAUAGCCAUAGGAGUUCCCGUAGUUGCAACACAUGUUGUCAGGAGAAGAGAAUUCAGGUGGUUUGCAAGUGGAUGUGGUGAAGUGCAGUCUCUACUUCCCUUGGACCUUUAUAUACUGCCAGCAAUUGGCAGAGCAUCCCAUUCAUUCCCUGACACAACCAACAAAUAUGUAAGCAACUGUGCUGUACCUGUCCAUGUCAAUGAUCAAGAAUGCCUGGGAACAAAUGAGCUCAUUAUUUUGGAGACUCCCAUUUUAUUUUAUUUAAAGAGCAGCAUUUUAAUUCACUCUGCCAAAUAAUUGUCUCAGUAGUAUCAUGUGCUCUACAUACCACUAAGACACAACUUCCUAUCAUUUAAUAUACCUUAUAUAACAAAGUUGAGGGAAUUUAGGAAAAUUUUAUCCCUCUUGAUCUCUCUUCGUUCCUAUAAUAUCUAUAUCUGCCUGUAGGAAAGGUAAUCUCUCCCAUAUCCUUUAUGGACUCAUUACAACUUUUGCCAGGCUUUCCUACCCACUCUGACUCCCAUACCCACC